CUGUUUUUAAUUACUUUUAAAAAAUUAAAAUUAAUAUUUUAAAAGGAAACAAGAAAGAACCCUAUAGUCUGGUCCCCCGCCUAUCAGAUACGAAGUGCAAACGAGAAAAUUCAACAUUUUCAGGCAAAUAAUUAGAUAUUGUAAUGAAAAACAAUUAAGCUAAUUAUUCUCACUAUCUCAAUCUCUCUGAAUGUUUUGAUAUAUGAGCUAUAUAUAUGUAUGCCUAGCUAUGAAUAUUUGAUAACGUUUUUUUUGCUUAAGCUGAAAUGAAAUUAUACAAAAAUUACACGAUCAUCCGAUUAGGUUUAUUCCAACUCACUUUCCUGCAUAAUACUGGUCAAAAUAUCCAUAAAGGUAUAGUUCCCGAGAUCUUCCGUUCAUAAGCACGGAAUGACAGACGGACGUGGCCAGAUCGACUCUGCAAGUAGUCCUGAUGAAGAAUACAUAUACAACAUAUACAACUUUAAUAAAGUUGCUUGAGAACAAGGGCUGUUUCUGCAGUUCGACAAUCAUCACUGCUCAAAAAUUUUACAAAGACGGCUUCUACGCCAGCAGAACCAGCUGCUUCGCUAAUGUUCUUUACAAACUGGCUCUCGUGCACGAUUUCUCCUUAAAAUUUAAAGUAAUAAAAAGGUGAUGAUUGUUAGCUUAAACGACGUAAGAAAAAUAAGUAAUUUCAACAAAAUUAAGUAUUAUUCCAGCCGAAAGGCAUAAAAACCUUCGCUCACUGUCGAUUAUCAAAAAUCAGAUGCCCGUUUCUCAGCUAGUGUACAUAAGUCCUUACGAGAAAGUUCAACAUUCUUUUUAGUAUAUCGAUAGGAAUUUAAAUCAAAUUUAUUUAGUUCAGGUAUUGUCUCAGGCUAUGUCUCUGGAAUCUGCAUGCCAAACCUUAACUUAACAUACUAGUUUUUACAGUUCCUGAAAUCUCUACUUUCUAACGGACGGAUAGACAGAAGGACAUUGCCAGAUCGACAUAAUAUAUUUAUACUUAUAUGAUCAGAAACGCUUCCUUCUACCUGUUGCGUACUAUUCGACAUAUAAUAAUAUAUUUAAUACCCUUUUACUCUACGUGUAACGGGUGUAAAUAUGGUUUUAUUUUAUUGUAAAUCCUAAAAACCUGCUUUAAGUAAUGAUUUGCAUAGUCGGUAAUGACCAUAACUCGUGUUAGUUAAAUACAAAGAAAGGAAACAGUAAGAAAAAUAAUGGAUAUCUGGAUAAGCAGAGCCUUUUUCUGAGAUGCCCAUGUCCUAUCUUGCGGGUUCACUUGCGACAAGAUUUUUGUAAGAAGCAGGCGCGAACCUUAGCGUUGGUAUUUAAGAAAAUGAUAAGAAUUUUUGAAUUUAAUUUAUUUAUUUAAAUAAAGUGUUGUGAUCUGAAAAGCGUUGAGUUUGUGGAAAUACCCCAAUCAUAGAUAUCCAUAAAGGUACAGGAUUAUUGAUAGCAAUUCGAUCAAGACUACAAAAUAUUUACUACAAAAAUAUUUAACAUUAUUUUAAUAUAUUAAAAAUCUUUUACAAAUAAAUAUGACAAUUUUAUUAUUUACUCAUUUAUAAUAUAAUCAAAAGAGGGCACAUUCCUUUUUUCUUCAUUUCUAGCCAUCUUAAAAAAUAAUUAAAUAUAUAAAAUAAUAAAACAAAGGUAAUUUAGUUUAAGAUUAACAUAAAAACUUCUAUAAGCACCGUUUAUUUAUUUACGGUACGAAUUAUUUUGGGUAUAUAAUCAUAUGUUCUUCCAUUCUGCUUCUAGAAACGUUCAUUUAUAGUUUUUAUAAACAGAUACUAGGCAGAUGUGCAUCUAAUACAUUGGAUGGAAAAAAAUCGAGAAUGCCCCAGAAAUCCAUGAUUUAAGUCGAAACUGUCUAAUCAAUGUAUAUCAAUAUAAGUUAGAAAACAAACUGUAUCCAAUUCACAUUAGUAAAAAUUACAAAUAAUCAUCGCUAUAUUCUGUUCCAUCUGAAUUUAUAUACCUUUAAUUUAACUCAGUCCUAAUAUGUGUACACAUAUACACACACGAUGUAAUAUAAAGUUAAAUACGUAUAAAUAUACUGUUAUUUAUAAUACCAUAAUUCACAAUAAAAUGUAUUUAUGAACUAGCCCAAUACAA